CUAGCCACCAUGCUUCUUUCACAUGCUUUGCUUGCUGUUUGGGGUUUUAGGCUGGGAAAAACUCCCUAGAAAGGCCAAAAACCUAGGAAGAAACCUAGAGAGGAACCAGGCUAUGAGGGGUGGCCAGUCCUCUUCUGGCUGUGCAGGGUGGAUAUUAUAACAGAACAUGGUCAAGAUGGUGCAACAAGCACGUCCGGUGAACAGGUCAGGGUUCCAAAGCCGCAGGCAGAACAGUUGAAACUGGAGCAGCAGCACGGCCAGGUGGACUGGGGACAGCAAGGAGUCAUCAUACCAGGUAGUCCUGAGGCAUGGUCCUAGGGCUCAGGUCCUCCGAGAGAAAGACAGAAAGAGAGAAUUAGAGAGAGCAUAUUUAAAUUCACACAGGAC
rnacentral:lncRNA from 1 species